CUAGCCAUGCCGCGUGAGUGAUGAAGGCCUUAGGGUCGUAAAGCUCUUUCGCCUGUGAUGAUAAUGACAGUAGCAGGUAAAGAAACCCCGGCUAACUCCGUGCCAGCAGCCGCGGUAAUACGGAGGGGGUUAGCGUUGUUCGGAAUUACUGGGCGUAAAGCGCGCGUAGGCGGAUUAGAAAGUUGGGGGUGAAAUCCCGGGGCUCAACCUCGGAACUGCCUCCAAAACUGCUAGUCUAGAGUUCGAGAGAGGUGAGUGGAAUUCCGAGUGUAGAGGUGAAAUUCGUAGAUAUUCGGAGGAACACCAGUGGCGAAGGCGGCUCACUGGCUCGAUACUGACGCUGAGGUGCGAAAGUGUGGGGAGCAAACAGGAUUAGAUACCCUGGUAGUCCACACCGUAAACGAUGAAUGCCAGUCGUUGGGUAGUAUACUAUUCGGUGACACACCUAACGGAUUAAGCAUUCCGCCUGGGGAGUACGGUCGCAAGAUUAAAACUCAAAGGAAUUGACGGGG
rnacentral:rRNA from 1 species